rnacentral:rRNA from 1 species
AUUGAACGCUGGCGGCAUGCCUAACACAUUCAAGUCGAGCGCGCGGCGGACGGGUGAGUAAUGUAUGGGGACUGCCCGAUAGAAGGGGAUAACUUCUGGGAACGGUAGCUAAUACCGAAUACUAUCGGAUAACCCAUAUGGGAUUAGCUAGUAGGUGAGGUAAUGGCUAACCUAGGCGACGAUACCUAGCUGGUCUGAGAGGAUGAUCAGCCACACUGGAACUGAGACACGGCCCAGACUCCUACGGAGGCAGCAGUGGGGAAUAUUGCGCAAUGGGCGCAAGCCUGAUGCAGCCAUGCCGCGUGUAUGAAGAAGGCCCUAGGGUUGUAAAGUACUUUCAGUCGGGAGGCGUUACCGAAAGAAGAAGCACCGGCUAACUCCGUGCCAGCAGCCGCGGUAAUAC